rnacentral:rRNA from 1 species
CGCCUGGAACAUCGACGAUGCAUCUAGAUUAGAGUUUGAUCAUGGCUCAGAUUGAACGCUGGCGGCAGGCCUAACACAUGCAAGUCGAGCGGUAACAGUCCUUCGGGAGCUGACGAGCGGCGGACGGGUGAGUAACGCGUAGGAAUCUACCCAGUAGCGGGGGAUAGCCCGGGGAAACUCGGAUUAAUACCGCAUACGCCCUACGGGGGAAAGCAGGGGAUCUUCGGACCUUGCACUAUUGGAAGAGCCUGCGUUGGAUUAGCUAGUUGGUAGGGUAAAGGCCUACCAAGGCGACGAUCCAUAGCUGGUCUGAGAGGAUGAUCAGCCACACUGGGACUGAGACACGGCCCAGACUCCUACGGGAGGCAGCAGUGGGGAAUAUUGGACAAUGGGGRCARCCCUSAUCYWGCCMKGCCGYGUGUGUGAAGAAAGGCCUUCSGGUUUGUWAAGCACUUUAAGKUKGGAAGAAGGGGYGAAUUGCUAAWWUCGGUCAUCAUUGACAUUAACCAACAGAAWWAGCCMCCGGCUAAACUCCGUGCCAGCAGCCCGCGGUAAUUACGGGAGGGGUGSMAGCGUUAAUCCGGAAUUACCUGGGCCGUAAAGCGCGGCGUAGGCGGCCUGAUUAAGUCGGGGUGUGAAAUCCCCCGGGCUCAACCCUGGGAACUGCAUCCCGAUACUGGUCGGCUAGAGUAUGAGAGAAGGAAGGUAGAAUUCCCACGUGUAGCCGGUGAAAUGCGUAGAUAUGUGGAGGAAUACCCGGUGGCGAAAGGCGGCCUUUCUGGCUUAAUACUGACGCUGAGGUGCGAAAGCGUGGGGAUCAAACAGGAUUAGAUACCCUGGUAGUCCCACGCUGUAAACGAUGUCAACUAGCUGUUGGUGGGCCUAGUCCCAUUAGUAGCGUAGCUAACGCGCUAAGUUGACCGCCUGGGGAGUACGGUCGCAAGAUUAAAACUCAAAUGAAUUGACGGGGGGCCCCGCCACAAGCGGUGGGAGCAUGGUGGUUUUAAUUCGACGCAACGCGARGAAUCCUUAACCAGGUCCUUGAACAUCCAGAGAACUUUCCAGAGAUUGGAUUGGUUGCCCUUCGGGGAGCUCUGGARACAGGGUGCCUGCAUGGCCUUGUCGUUCAGCCUCGUGUCGUGGAGAUGKUSGGWUAAGUYCCGUWAGCRAGCGCCAACCCCYUGGUYCUUAUUUUGCCAGCACUUCGGGUGGGAACUUWARGGARAGCUGCCGGUGAMMAACCGGAAGAGAAAAGGGUGGGGAACSACGUCAAGUCAUCAUGGCCCUUACGACCUGGGCUACACACGUGCUACAAUGGAACGUACAAAGGGCAGCAACCCCGCGAGGGUGAGCAAAUCCCAUAAAACGCUUCGUAGUCCGGAUUGCAGUCUGCAACUCGACUGCAUGAAGUCGGAAUCGCUAGUAAUCGCAAAUCAGAAUGUUGCGGUGAAUACGUUCCCGGGCCUUGUACACACCGCCCGUCACACCAUGGGAGUGGGUUGCACCAGAAGUAGCUAGUCUAACCGCAAGGGGGACGGUUACCACGGUGUGAUUCAUGACUGGGGUGAAGUCGUAACAAGGUAGCCGUAAGUCGUAACAAGGUAGCCGUAAAGAGGUUCCGC